rnacentral:rRNA from 1 species
GGGUAGCUUGCGCUCCCCGGUCUCGAAGCCCCGACGAGUAGGAGGGUCGCAGCGGUGAGCGUCGAAGGGACUCCGGCGUGAGCCGGCCUGGAGCCGCCGCUGGUGCAGAUCUUGGUGGUAGUAGCAAAUACUCGAGAGAGACCCUAGAGGGCUGAUGUGGAGCAGGGUUCCAUGUGAACAUCAGUUGGACAUGGGUCAGUCGGUCCUAAGUCCAUGGCGAAGGCCAGUUCCUACCGCGCAGGCAAAUGUCAAAACGUGUCGCGUUGUGGAGGGCGUGCGGGGAGUUGAGAGACGACGUGUGUCCAGGAUCUUCGGAGACCUAAAUAGCCCUCUUCCCCUUCACCCCUACGCCCCCCUCAUCCCACACGUGUGCGUGAUAUGUCCACAGAAUACUCUUCUGGACGAAAGGGAUUCCGGUAAAUAUUCUGGAACUUGGCUUCGGAGAUGCUCGGUGCCCUCGGUCGGUUACGGCCGGCCUUGGGAGUCACACUGUGGCAUAAACCCCAGUAAUGGGAUCAAAGCCCGCAUCCGUCGGCGGUGGCCCAGGGAAGAGUUUUCUUUUCUGUUUAAGACAUCUUUAGCCCUGGAAGCAACUUGCUAGGAGAGAGGGCUGUGGUACAAGGUAUCACUG